UUCCAGCGCCUCUCUCUCCGCCAUGGUCGUCCUCCUCCACUCCGCCUCCCGCAUCUCCGCCGUCCGGUUCAAUCCCCCUCCUCGUUCCCCGACGCAUGUCCGCGGAAGAAUGCUCUCGUUGAGGUGUCUCAGCUCGAGCCUCCCGUUCCCAGUCGAUAACGCCAAGUAUCACCGCGAGCUCGAAGCCGCCAUCGACGUUGUGGAGCGAGCUUGCCGUCUCUGUGUCGACGUGAAGAAAGCCUUGUCUUCGAGUGAUGGUCGGAUUCUCGAGAAGACUGACCAAACUCCCGUCACCGUUGCGGACUUCGGCGUGCAAGCUCUUGUCAGUUUGGAGCUGGGAAACUUGUUUCCUUCCAUUCCUUUAGUGGCAGAAGAGGACUCUGCAUCCAUACGUUCUACUGAUUUGGUGGGUUAUGUUGUGGAUGCUGUUACCGAUAAAGCGAGCUCUGAAGUUCAUCCUUUGACACCCAAUGCUGUUUUAGAGGCUAUUGACCGAGGAGGAAAGAACGACUUCUCUAUUGGAGCGCAGCCAGACUCAUAUUGGGUUCUGGAUCCAAUAGAUGGGACACGAGGAUUUCUAAAAGGAAGUGAGGCCUUGUAUGUGGUAGGAUUGGCACUUGUGAUUGGUGGAGAAGUUGUAUUAGGUGCAAUGGGAUGCCCUAAUUGGCAGCAAGAUCUAUCCAAUGUAGCCAACGAUGGGCUACAGGAGUAUGAGAUCAGCAUGGCGAGACCUGGGAUCAUCAUGGUAUCUCAUGUUGGCUGUGGAACAUGGACCAAAAGGUUACCACCACAGCUCAGUAAUACAAGUGCAGAGGAUGCCUAUUGGACCAGGUGCUUUGUUGAUUGGUUCUCUGCAGUUCAUGAAGCACGCUUUUGCAUUCCAGAGAGUCAAACAUGGGAGACAAUUCUCCCGUCUACCUCAUUCAAAGCAACAACUGAAACUGGUACUGCUGGAGAAGGGAAAGUUGUUCUACUGCCAGCAUGUUGUGGAAGUUUAUGCAAGUAUAUGAUGGUUGCUUCAGGAAGGGCGUCAGUUUUCAUUAGUCGAGCAAGAGCACAAACCUCAAUCAAGGCUUGGGACCAUGCUGUUGGCAUGAUAUGCGUGCAUGAAGCUGGAGGAAAGGUGACCGAUUGGGAAGGAAGUCAAAUUGAUCUGGCAGCAGAUGCCGCUGAACGGAGAAUCGUAUUCCCUAGAGGUGGCAUUAUUGUGUCUAAUGGGAACUUGCAUGACAAGAUUUUGGACAUGACUUCUUCUGGGGCCUCGUCUGUUUUGUAGGAAGCCAAAGAUUUGGUAAAAAAAAAAAUGCAUAAAACCAUUGCACAUUUGUUCUAUUGAAUGUAAUACAUAAGCUCCUUGCUGAAAGCUGGUAUUGAAGGUUCAAGCAAGUGCUCUUCUGAAGGCCCUUAUCUUCAGUAAAAUCUUCUGAAUGUCUGCAGAAAAGAGAGUGCUUUCAAGGGAAUCCAAAGAACCAUCGGUGCGAUAACUCGAGAAGUGGCAGUUACAUCUGAGUUGAUCAACCUUCAGUCGGUCACACAUUGAGCAUGUAAGGUAGAUGAAAUUAGGGGCCAUAGAGCCCAGUGCAUAUUAUGACAAUUCCCUAGUCUAGAGUUCAUGAACUACUCGACUAUCUGUACUUUACUUCAGUGAAGAUUAGGUAGAGAAACAGAAACUCUGUAGUAAUUUUUUGGUUUUAAAACUCUUGUACCAGAAAUUUGUUGCACAAUAAUCAUUGUCCUCUUGAAUUUUUACUGUACAUU